GUGUUUCGGUAGAUGUGUAGGUUUGCCAUAAGCUGCUUUCGUCACACACAGGAUUUUUCCUACGAAAAUUUCCAAGGACAACAAUGGAGCAACCUACCUGUUUAUUUUCUCAAAAAUAACGAACAGGGCCUUGUCUGCCAGGAUGAAGGAGAAAAUAAAUGAAAUUCCAGCCUUUCGAUGAAAUGUCAUGCUAAAAUGGAUGGUCCAAAAAUCUAUAUUUAGAUGAGUGACUCCUGUUUGAAGAAGACAUGAUAAAUGUUUCAUGC